CUGCCUUGGAGUGGGGAAUAACGGCUGGAAACAGCUGCUAAUACCGCAUAAUGCAGUUGAGUCGCAUGGCUCUGACUGCCAAAGAUUUAUCGCUCUGAGAUGGACUCGCGUCUGAUUAGCUAGUUGGUGGGGCAACGGCCCACCAAGGCGACGAUCAGUAGCCGGACUGAGAGGUUGGCCGGCCACAUUGGGACUGAGACACGGCCCAGACUCCUACGGAAGGCAGCAG
rnacentral:rRNA from 1 species